rnacentral:rRNA from 1 species
CAAUAGCGUAUAUUAAAGUUGUUGCAGUUAAAAAGCUCGUAGUUGGAUUUCGGAGUGGGCCAGUUGGUCCGCCGCAAGGUGUGUUACUGACUGGUUUGCUCUUCUUCGCAAAGACUGCGUGUGCUCUUGAGUGAGUGUGCGUAGGAUUUACGACGUUUACUUUGAAAAAAUUAGAGUGUUCAAAGCAGGCUAUUGCUUGAAUACAUGAGCAUGGAAUAAUGGAAUAGGACUUUGGUCCCAUUUUGUUGGUUUCUAGGGCCGAAGUAAUGAUUAAGAGGGACAAUUGGGGGCAUCCGUAUUUCGUUGUCAGAGGUGAAAUUCUUGGAUUUACGAAAGACGAACAACUGCGAAAGCACUUGCCAAGAGUGUUUUCAUUAAUCAAGAACGAAAGUUAGAGGAU